UACGGAGGAUGCAAGCGUUAUCCGGAAUUAUUGGGCGUAAAGCGUCCGCAGGCGGUUAUCCAAGUCUGCUGUUAAAGCGCGAGGCUUAACUUCGUACAGGCAGUGGAAACUGGGUGACUGGAGUAUGGUAGGGGUAGCGGGAAUUCCCAGUGUAGCGGUGAAAUGCGUAGAUAUUGGGAAGAACACCAGCGGCGAAAGCGCGCUACUGGGCCAUUACUGACACUCAUGGACGAAAGCUAGGGGAGCGAAAGGG
rnacentral:rRNA from 1 species